UGCUGAAGUUCAGCAGGAUGGUCUGUCUGGUGGAGCCAGCUGCCUUGUGAAGGCCUGGAAAGAAGGAAUGUUCCUAAUACUAAAACUGGAGAAGUAAAGGACAAAGGUGCUACAGUCUCUUUUGGGCAUAUCAGCUCUAGUCAAUAGGCUGGGACAUGGUUGAGCUACUUCUGCCUGGUGUAAGUCUGCAGCCCAAUAUGAUAAGGAAGCCAGUGCAGACAGUGGAGGCCGUCUCCUAAGCUGCGGGAACCUGGAGGCGUAUACAUCAUACACUACACAUGCAGUGAAUUAUGCUGGUGUGAACUUCAAGAAUUGGGCAUGUGCCCUCCUGAAAAUUCAGGCUGCA